GUCCACUGCUAACAAAACUGCAAUUCAGCUGUGCUUUUAGCACUGUCUACCAACUGUGCCUUUCCCGUCUCAUCCUUUUGCUCCUGUGUAACAUUAUAAAGACCUUUCUUUAGUUUUUCCAGCUGUAUUUCCUAUGAUCAUCUCUCUUUAUAGAGUCAACUGUUGCCUCCACUGAAAAAUUUGGGAAGAGGAGGAAGAGACUGUUUGGAAAUUCAGUGUCCCUGAAAUGGCUCGUGCGUGACAGACCUCCAUAUCAGCCCCGGAGGAAUGGGAGUGCGAGGCCAAGUGCCGGCUGCAGGUGCCAAGGGUGCACUAGGAGCAGACUUUGGCGUUUGGUGACUGAAAGGCCAAAGUUCAAGCAGGGGCUUAUUACACAAGACUGCUGACAGAAAACACGAUGGCCUUUUAAAAAUCUAAACCUGGAGUGAAAAAUUUAGAGACCUAGUCAUCAAGUUUAGAAUACAUAUGAUAUCUGGACCCAAAGAUCAGUUUGUGGCAAUACUGACACUGCCCUUCCUCCU